GACAGAGGGUGCAAACGUUGUUCGGAAUUACUGGGCGUAAAGCGUGUGUAGGCGGUCCGCUAAGUCGGGUGUGAAAGCCCUGGGCUCAACCCAGGAAGUGCACUCGAAACUGGCGGGCUAGAGUAUCGGAGAGGUUGGUGGAAUUCUCGGUGUAGAGGUGAAAUUCGUAGAUAUCGAGAGGAACACCGGUGGCGAAGGCGGCCAACUGGACGAAUACUGACGCUGAGACACGAAAGCGUGGGGAGCGAACAGG
rnacentral:rRNA from 1 species